rnacentral:rRNA from 1 species
AUACGGAGGGGGUUAGCGUUGUUCGGAAUUACUGGGCGUAAAGCGCACGUAGGCGGACUGGAAAGUUGGGGGUGAAAUCCCGGGGCUCAACCCCGGAACUGCCUCCAAAACUUCCAAUCUAGAGAUCGAGAGAGGUGAGUGGAAUUCCAAGUGUAGAGGUGAAAUUCGUAGAUAUUUGGAGGAACACCAGUGGCGAAGGCGGCUCACUGGCUCGAUACUGACGCUGAGGUGCGAAAGCGUGGGGAGCAAACAGUAUUAGAAACCCCAGUAGUCC